rnacentral:rRNA from 1 species
UACGUAGGGGGCGAGCGUUGUCCGGAAUCAUUGGGCGUAAAGAGCGUGUAGGCGGCCAGGUAGGUCUGCUGUGAAAACUCGAGGCUCAACCUCGAGACGUCGGCGGAAACCAUCUGGCUAGAGUCCGGAAGAGGAGAGUGGAAUUCCUGGUGUAGCGGUGAAAUGCGCAGAUAUCAGGAAGAACACCCGAGGCGAAGGCGGCUCUCUGGGACGGUACUGACGCUGAGACGCGAAAGCGUGGGGAGCGAACAGG